AUUGAACGCUGGCGGCAGGCCUAACACAUGCAAGUCGAGCGAGCGGCGGACGGGUGAGUACUGUAUGGGGACUGCCCGAUAGAGGGGGAUAACUACUGGAAACGGUAGCUAAUACCGCAUACUAUCGGAUAACCCAUAUGGGAUUAGCUAGUAGGUGAGGUAAUGGCUCACCUAGGCGACGAUCCCUAGCUGGUCUGAGAGGAUGAUCAGCCACAGGGGGACUGAGACACGGUCCGGCCUCUUACGGAGGAAGCAGUGGGGAAUAUUGCACAGUGGGCGAAAGCCUGAGGCAGCCAUGCGGGGUGUAUGAAGAAGGCCUUCGGGUGGUAAAGUACUUUCAGCGGGGAGGCGUUACCGACAGAGGAAGCACCGGCUAACUCCGUGCCAGCAGCCGCGGUAAUAC
rnacentral:rRNA from 1 species